rnacentral:rRNA from 1 species
UAGUGGCGAACGGGUGAGUAACACGUGGGCCNAUCUGCCCUUCACUCUGGGACAAGCCCUGGAAACUGGGGUCUAAUNNCGGAUAACACCUGCCCGGGCAUCCGGGUGGGUUAAAAGCUCCGGCGNNUGAAGGAUGAGCCCGCGGCCUAUCAGCUUGUUGGUGAGGUAGUCGCUCACCAAGGCGACGACGGGUAGCCGGCCUGAGAGGGCGACCGGCCACACUGGGACUGAGACACGGCCCAGACUCCUACGGGAGGCAGCAGUGGGGAAUAUUGCACAAUGGGCGAAAGCCUGAUGCAGCGACGCCGCGUGAGGGAUGACGGCCUUCGGGUUGUAAACCUCUUUCAGCAGGGAAGAAGCGAAAGUGACGGUACCUGCAGAAGAAGCGCCGGCUAACUACGUGCCAGCAGCCGCGGUAAUACGUAGGGCGCAAGCGUUGUCCGGAAUUAUUGGGCGUAAAGAGCUCGUAGGCGGCUUGUCACGUCGGGUGUGAAAGCCCGGGGCUUAACCCCGGGUCUGCAUUCGAUACGGGCUAGCUAGAGUGUGGUAGGGGAGAUCGGAAUUCCU